rnacentral:rRNA from 1 species
AUUGAACGCUGGCGGCAUGCCUUACACAUGCAAGUCGAACGGCAGCACGGGAGCAAUCCUGGUGGCGAGUGGCGAACGGGUGAGUAAAGUAUCGGAACGUGCCCAGUCGUGGGGGAUGACGUAGCGAAAGUUACGCUAAUACCGCAUACGCUCUAUGGAUGAAAGCGGGGGAUCGCAAGACCUCGCGCGAGUGGAGCGGCCGAUAUCAGAUUAGGUAGUUGGUGGGGUAAAGGCUCACCAAGCCGACGAUCUGUAGCUGGUCUGAGAGGACGACCAGCCACACUGGGACUGAGACACGGCCCAGACUCCUACGGGAGGCAGCAGUGGGGAAUUUUGGACAAUGGGCGAAAGCCUGAUCCAGCCAUGCCGCGUGCAGGAUGAAGGCCUUCGGGUUGUAAACUGCUUUUGUACGGAACGAAAAGGUUUGGCCUAAUAAGCUGAGCUCAUGACGGUACCGUAAGAAUAAGCACCGGCUAACUACGUGCCAGCCGCCGCGGUAA